rnacentral:rRNA from 1 species
GACGAACGCUGGCGGCGUGCUUAACACAUGCAAGUCGAACGGAAAGGCCCUGCUUUUGUGGGGUGCUCGAGUGGCGAACGGGUGAGUAACACGUGAGUAACCUGCCCUUGACUUUGGGAUAACUUCAGGAAACUGGGGCUAAUACCGGAUAGUAGCUCCUGCUGCAUGGUGGGGGUUGGAAAGUUUCGGCGGUUGGGGAUGGACUCGCGGCUUAUCAGCUUGUUGGUGGGGUAGUGGCUUACCAAGGCUUUGACGGGUAGCCGGCCUGAGAGGGUGACCGGCCACAUUGGGACUGAGAUACGGCCCAGACUCCUACGGGUGGCAGUAGUGGGGAAUAUUGCACAAUGGGCGGAAGCCUGAUGCAGCAACGCCGCGUGCGGGAUGACGGCCUUCGGGUUGUAAACCGCUUUCGCCUGUGACGAAGCGUGAGUGACGGUAAUGGGUAAAGAAGCACCGGCUAACUACGUG